CUCCCACCUGUGCUGAGUUUCAGGUGGAGUCCCGCCUCCUUCCAGGAAGCAGCUCACCUGUGUGUCCGUGUUUAGUGUCCAGGUGUGGAGUGGAGCUUGUUGUUGGUGUGUGAAGAAACUACUGACUGAAGAUGAUGAUGGAGGAAGAGGAGGACAGAGCAGAGUCUGCAGGGUCCAGCUGUCCGUCUGUGAGGAGUGACCAGUCCAAAGGUCUAAAUCCUCCAGACUUCAGUGCUGAACCUGGACCAACGAGAGGUCAGAGGUCACAGUCUGCAGGGUCCAGCUGUCCAUCCAUGAGGAGUGACCGGUCCAAAGGUCA